rnacentral:rRNA from 1 species
AUGAGCAGACCCGCGGCUCUCGUGCUGAUCAUCCUCAUCAUUGCCUCCGGCGGGGUCGGCUUGGCCGCGCGGCCACUGGCGGGCGGAGGACGCGCCGCAAGGGAGCUCACGGGCGCCACCGACUCGUCGGCGCAGCCGUCCAAUUGCACCUACGGGCACAAUACCGGCGGCCAGUGCCCUCCUAGCCCCGCCGCCCACAGUUAG